AUUGAACGCUGGCGGCAGGCCUAACACAUGCAAGUCUAACGAGUGGCGGACGGGUGUGUAAUGUCUGGGAAACUGCCUGAUGGCGGGGGCUAACUAAUGGAAACGGUAGCUAAUACCGCAUACCAUCGGAUGGUCCCAGAGGGGAUUAGCUAGUCGGUGGGGUAAAGGCUCACCUAGGCGACGAUCCCUAGAUGGUCUGAGAGGAUGACCAGCCACACUGGAACUGAGACACGGUCCAGACUCCUACGGGAGGCAGCAGUGGGGAAGAUUGCACAAUGGGCGCAAGCCUGAUGCAGCCAUGCCGCGUGUAUGAAGAAGGCCUUCGGGUUGUAAAGUACUUUCAGCGGGGAGGCGUUACCCGCAGAAGAAGCACCGGCUAACUCCGUGCCAGCAGCCGCGGUAAUUC
rnacentral:rRNA from 1 species